GGAGCUUGAUUUAUUGACAGUUUAGGGAGCUGGAUUUAUUGACAUAGUUUAGGGAGCUUGAUUUAUUGACAUAGAUUAGGGAGAUGGAUUUAUUGACAGUUUAGGGAGAUGGAUUUAUUGGCAUAGUUUAGGGAGAUGGAUUUAUUGACAGUUUAGGAGCUGGAUUUAUUGACAUAGUUUAGGGAGAUGGAUUUAUUGACAUAGCUUCGGGAGCUGGAUUUAUUGACGUAGCUUAGGGAGCUUGAUUUAUUGACAUAUUUAGGAGCUGGAUUUAUUGACAUAGCUUCAGGAGCUGGAUUUAUUGACGUAUCUUAGGGAGCUGGAUUUAUUGACAUAGUUUAGGGAGCUUGAUUUAUUGACAUAGAUUAGG
ensembl:lncRNA